GAGUUUGAUCCUGGCUCAGGAUGAACGCUGGCGGCGUGCUUAACACAUGCAAGUCGAACGGGAAUUACUUUAUUGAAACUUCGGUCGAUUUAAUUUAAUUCUAGUGGCGGACGGGUGAGUAACGCGUGGGUAACCUGCCUUAUACAGGGGGAUAACAGUCAGAAAUGACUGCUAAUACCGCAUAAGCGCACAGAGCUGCAUGGCUCGGUGUGAAAAACUCCGGUGGUAUGAGGUGGACCCGCGUCUGAUUAGGUAGUUGGUGAGGUAACGGCUCACCAAGCCGACGAUCAGUAGCCGACCUGAGAGGGUGACCGGCCACAUUGGGACUGAGACACGGCCCAGACUCCUACGGGAGGCAGCAGUGGGGAAUAUUGCACAAUGGGCGAAAGCCUGAUGCAGCGACGCCGCGUGAAGGAUGAAGUAUUUCGGUAUGUAAACUUCUAUCAGCAGGGAAGAAAAUGACGGUACCUGACUAAGAAGCCCCGGCUAACUACGUGCCAGCCGCCGCGGUAAUUC
rnacentral:rRNA from 1 species